rnacentral:rRNA from 3 species
GGGUUGUGAGGUUAAGCGACUAAGCGUACACGGUGGAUGCCCUGGCAGUCAGAGGCGAUGAAGGACGUGCUAAUCUGCGAUAAGCGUCGGUAAGGUGAUAUGAACCGUUAUAACCGGCGAUUUCCGAAUGGGGAAACCCAGUGUGAUUCGUCACACUAUCAUUAACUGAAUCCAUAGGUUAAUGAGGCGAACCGGGGGAACUGAAACAUCUAAGUACCCCGAGGAAAAGAAAUCAACCGAGAUUCCCCCAGUAGCGGCGAGCGAACGGGGAGCAGCCCAGAGCCUGAAUCAGUGUGUGUGUUAGUGGAAGCGUCUGGAAAGGCGCGCGAUACAGGGUGACAGCCCCGUACACAAAAAUGCACAUACUGUGAGCUCGAUGAGUAGGGCGGGACACGUGGUAUCCUGUCUGAAUAUGGGGGGACCAUCCUCCAAGGCUAAAUACUCCUGACUGACCGAUAGUGAACCAGUACCGUGAGGGAAAGGCGAAAAGAACCCCGGCGAGGGGAGUGAAAAAGAACCUGAAACCGUGUACGUACAAGCAGUGGGAGCACAGAGCAAUCUGUGUGACUGCGUACCUUUUGUAUAAUGGGUCAGCGACUUAUAUUCUGUAGCAAGGUUAACCGAAUAGGGGAGCCGAAGGGAAACCGAGUCUUAACCGGGCGUUAAGUUGCAGGGUAUAGACCCGAAACCCGGUGAUCUAGCCAUGGGCAGGUUGAAGGUUGGGUAACACUAACUGGAGGACCGAACCGACUAAUGUUGAAAAAUUAGCGGAUGACUUGUGGCUGGGGGUGAAAGGCCAAUCAAACCGGGAGAUAGCUGGUUCUCCCCGAAAGCUAUUUAGGUAGCGCCUCGUGAAUUCAUCUCCGGGGGUAGAGCACUGUUUCGGCAAGGGGGUCAUCCCGACUUACCAACCCGAUGCAAACUGCGAAUACCGGAGAAUGUUAUCACGGGAGACACACGGCGGGUGCUAACGUCCGUCGUGAAGAGGGAAACAACCCAGACCGCCAGCUAAGGUCCCAAAGUCAUGGUUAAGUGGGAAACGAUGUGGGAAGGCCCAGACAGCCAGGAUGUUGGCUUAGAAGCAGCCAUCAUUUAAAGAAAGCGUAAUAGCUCACUGGUCGAGUCGGCCUGCGCGGAAGAUGUAACGGGGCUAAACCAUGCACCGAAGCUGCGGCAGCGACACUGUGUGUUGUUGGGUAGGGGAGCGUUCUGUAAGCCUGUGAAGGUGUGCUGUGAGGCAUGCUGGAGGUAUCAGAAGUGCGAAUGCUGACAUAAGUAACGAUAAAGCGGGUGAAAAGCCCGCUCGCCGGAAGACCAAGGGUUCCUGUCCAACGUUAAUCGGGGCAGGGUGAGUCGACCCCUAAGGCGAGGCCGAAAGGCGUAGUCGAUGGGAAACAGGUUAAUAUUCCUGUACUUGGUGUUACUGCGAAGGGGGGACGGAGAAGGCUAUGUUGGCCGGGCGACGGUUGUCCCGGUUUAAGCGUGUAGGCUGGUUUUCCAGGCAAAUCCGGAAAAUCAAGGCUGAGGCGUGAUGACGAGGCACUACGGUGCUGAAGCAACAAAUGCCCUGCUUCCAGGAAAAGCCUCUAAGCAUCAGGUAACAUCAAAUCGUACCCCAAACCGACACAGGUGGUCAGGUAGAGAAUACCAAGGCGCUUGAGAGAACUCGGGUGAAGGAACUAGGCAAAAUGGUGCCGUAACUUCGGGAGAAGGCACGCUGAUAUGUAGGUGAAGUCCCUCGCGGAUGGAGCUGAAAUCAGUCGAAGAUACCAGCUGGCUGCAACUGUUUAUUAAAAACACAGCACUGUGCAAACACGAAAGUGGACGUAUACGGUGUGACGCCUGCCCGGUGCCGGAAGGUUAAUUGAUGGGGUCAGCGCAAGCGAAGCUCUUGAUCGAAGCCCCGGUAAACGGCGGCCGUAACUAUAACGGUCCUAAGGUAGCGAAAUUCCUUGUCGGGUAAGUUCCGACCUGCACGAAUGGCGUAAUGAUGGCCAGGCUGUCUCCACCCGAGACUCAGUGAAAUUGAACUCGCUGUGAAGAUGCAGUGUACCCGCGGCAAGACGGAAAGACCCCGUGAACCUUUACUAUAGCUUGACACUGAACAUUGAGCCUUGAUGUGUAGGAUAGGUGGGAGGCUUUGAAGUGUGGACGCCAGUCUGCAUGGAGCCGACCUUGAAAUACCACCCUUUAAUGUUUGAUGUUCUAACGUGGACCCGUGAUCCGGGUUGCGGACAGUGUCUGGUGGGUAGUUUGACUGGGGCGGUCUCCUCCUAAAGAGUAACGGAGGAGCACGAAGGUUGGCUAAUCCUGGUCGGACAUCAGGAGGUUAGUGCAAUGGCAUAAGCCAGCUUGACUGCGAGCGUGACGGCGCGAGCAGGUGCGAAAGCAGGUCAUAGUGAUCCGGUGGUUCUGAAUGGAAGGGCCAUCGCUCAACGGAUAAAAGGUACUCCGGGGAUAACAGGCUGAUACCGCCCAAGAGUUCAUAUCGACGGCGGUGUUUGGCACCUCGAUGUCGGCUCAUCACAUCCUGGGGCUGAAGUAGGUCCCAAGGGUAUGGCUGUUCGCCAUUUAAAGUGGUACGCGAGCUGGGUUUAGAACGUCGUGAGACAGUUCGGUCCCUAUCUGCCGUGGGCGCUGGAGAACUGAGGGGGGCUGCUCCUAGUACGAGAGGACCGGAGUGGACGCAUCACUGGUGUUCGGGUUGUCAUGCCAAUGGCACUGCCCGGUAGCUAAAUGCGGAAGAGAUAAGUGCUGAAAGCAUCUAAGCACGAAACUUGCCCCGAGAUGAGUUCUCCCUGACCCUUUAAGGGUCCUGAAGGAACGUUGAAGACGACGACGUUGAUAGGCCGGGUGUGUAAGCGCAGCGAUGCGUUGAGCUAACCGGUACUAAUGAACCGUGAGGCUUAACCUUACAACGCCGAAGGUGUUU